rnacentral:rRNA from 1 species
UGGACGCAAGUCUGAGGGAGCGACGCCGCGUGCGGGAUGAAGGCCUUCGGGUUGUAAACCGCGUUAGGGGGGAGGAAGCCGCAAGGUUGACCUAUCCCCAAAAUAAGCACGGGCUAAGUUCGUGCCAGCAGCCGCGGUAAGACGAACCGUGCGAACGUUGUUCGGAAUCACUGGGCUUAAAGGGCGCGUAGGCGGUCUGCCAAGUCGGUGGUGAAAUCUUUCGGCUCAACCGGAAAACUGCCUUCGAUACUGGCAGGCUGGAGGGAGGUAGGGGUUGCGGGAACUACCAGUGGAGCGGUGAAAUGCGUUGAUAUUGGUAGGAACGCCGGUGGCGAAAGCGCGCAACUGGACCUCUUCUGACGCUGAGGCGCGAAAGCUAGGGGAGCAAACGGGAUUAGAUACCCCGGUAGUCCUAGCCUUAAACGAUGAGAACUAGGUUGUGGACUUGACAUGGGUUCACAGCCGAAGCAAAAGUGCUAAGUUCUCCGCCUGGGGAGUAUGGUCGCAAGGCUG